rnacentral:lncRNA from 1 species
CCCCGCCCCCGCCGCGCCUCGGCGGGCUGGGAGGGGGCGACGGGCGGGAGGAGGGGAGAGAGGGGAGGAGCGAGGGAGGAGGGAGGGGGAGGGGGGAGAGGGGGGAGGCGGGCAGCCCCGCCCCCGCCGCCGCCGCCGCCCCGCAGGAAGUGCGCCCUUAACCCUCGGCCGCUGUCCUCCCCAGGUCCAGCCUCGCCUCCGAGAGGCUGGCCGUGUGGAGGCUGCGCGCUGUCCCCAGAGCAAAUAUUUAACGGAAACCAGGGGUGGAAAAAGACGUUGGAGGAGCCUGUUCCAUUCCACCCGCGGUUACCAAUGCGCCCACGGGCGGCCACGCCUGAGGCUGGGGGCUUUGGGGCACGCACUGUGUCCAGUUCCACCUGACGAACCUUGAAGUUGGAAUUCACUGUGGUCUCUAGAAACAAGUGAUACUUCAGCAAGAGCAGAAUGCAGAGAAUUGAAGCUGAUCCAAAAUGUCACUCGGAGACUCACUGACCUUCAACGACCUUCCCUUAUUUCUGCUGUAAUUCGUUGGGCUUAGUCCUCAAGUUACCAUCCUUUCUCUCCACGCCCCCCCACCGCGCCAUGGGUCUGCCUUGGUUGGGGAGAAUGCGAUUCAGAGGGUAGCGGGAACAAUUCUAAAUGCUGCAUCUACCUCACAGGAAUGCCGAUGUCUGGUCCUCUUGGAGUUGGCCAGGCUGCUGUAACAUAAUGGAGAUCUUAUUUUAUUAAGACCCUGCUCAGUUUUCUCCUCGGGACACCAGGGAAGAGUGAAAAGAGAGCCACAUGUGAAUUCCUGCCUAGUCACUAUGAGUGGAUGACCAUGAGUGACUUAUCUAACCUUAAUAAACCUUUUUCCUCACCUAAAAGGAGGACAGGGAGCAGGUAAUACUUACCUUCCGUGGUGGUUGUGAGAAUAAAAUAGCAUUCUCUAUGUAACAGUCCCAG